UACGUAGGGUGCGAGCGUUGUCCGGAAUUAUUGGGCGUAAAGAGCUCGUAGGCGGUGUGUCACGUCGGCCGUGAAAACCUGCAGCUUAACUGUGGGCGUGCGGUCGAUACGGGCAUCACUGGAGUUCGGCAGGGGAGACUGGAAUUCCUGGUGUAGCGGUGAAAUGCGCAGAUAUCAGGAGGAACACCGGUGGCGAAGGCGGGUCUCUGGGCCGAUACUGACGCUGAGGAACGAAAGCGUGGGGAGCAAACAGG
rnacentral:rRNA from 1 species